rnacentral:lncRNA from 1 species
GGGACACCUCCAGCACCCCUGGUGCAGCCCCAGCCCCCUGCGGUGCCCCCUUUUUUUGUGGCUGCUCCGCUCCAGGGCGGGGGGGACACACGCACACACGACCCCGCGCUGCAGUCAGGCUUCUCCUCGCACACCUCGGCUCCGCGGGAGGCUGGCGGAGGGGCCGUGCUGCUCCCCACCCCUUUUCCCCGGCUCUAAAAGCAAAGCUUUGUUCUCGCGGAGCCCUGGCUGCCGGCCGGCUGUCCGCCAGCCAGAUGGAAAGGCGCGAGGGGCUCUCCUCCCUUCCCCUCUCGCUCCCUCUCCGGAUCUCGCCCCGGGUCCCCCGCUGGAGCUGUGCCAGGCGCUGGGUGCCGCGCUCGGGCUGCUCCGUAACGGGGUUGGAAGCUCCCAGCCCUGCCCCAGUGGCCCCAAGGGGACCGCAGCGGGGUGCGUGGGUGCGUCACCGUGUCCCCAAAACCCACCCUCCCCUCGCUCCGGGCUGAGGGUCGUGCCCAGGGGCUGCACGAGGGGUGCUUGCGUCCCCCCCUCUGCUUCCAGCAGCACUCGGGGCGUCUCUGGGUGCUCCCAAAAGGGCUGGCGAGCCCUUUUGGGGGGAGCAGGGAGGGGGCUGCAGCCCCCGUGUCUGCCUCCUCAAGGGCAGCGGCCGGGUAGGAGGGUGCCUGGUGCCAGCCGCGGAUGCCAGCCAUUCCCCAGCUCUGAGCUCAUGCUUCUGCUGCUUUUGCCGCCAGGACGAGGGCUCGAGGGCUCCCGCUCCCAGCGGUUCAGCAGCUCUCAUCUCCCAGGGGUGGCCCUGCCCAGGACCCUGCUGAGGGUUUGGGAACAGCGGGGGGCAGCGGCAGCGGCUGGGGUGCGCCCCCGGUGUGCACGGGGCUGGGGGUGGCUGGUGUCGUGCCCAGGUGCCUCCGGUGCAGCCGGCGCUGUGCAGGUCUCCAUGCCGGAGGUGGUGGAAGCGGAGAUUGAGUCCACGGCCAGGAUCGAGUGCGGCUUCUCCAUCCCUGGGAACGGCUCCUACACCUUCAUCGACUGG